rnacentral:rRNA from 1 species
GCAGAACGCGAAGAACCUUACCCACCUUUGACAUGUACGGAAUCCUUUAGAGAUAGAGGAGUGCUCGAAAGAGAGCCGUAACACAGGUGCUGCAUGGCUGUCGUCAGCUCGUGUCGUGAGAUGUUGGGUUAAGUCCCGCAACGAGCGCAACCCUUGCCAUUAGUUGCUACAUUUAGUUGAGCACUCUAAUGGGACUGCCGGUGACAAACCGGAGGAAGGUGGGGAUGACGUCAAGUCCUCAUGGCCCUUAUAGGUGGGGCUACACACGUCAUACAAUGGCUGGUACAAAGGGUUGCCAACCCGCGAGGGGGAGCUAAUCCCAUAAAGCCAGUCGUAGUCCGGAUCGCAGUCUGCAACUCGACUGCGUGAAGUCGGAAUCGCUAGUAAUCGUGGAUCAGAAUGUCACGGUGAAUACGUUCCCGGGUCUUGUACACACCG